rnacentral:rRNA from 1 species
GACGAACGCUGGCGGCGUGCUUAACACAUGCAAGUCGAACGGAAAGGCCCUGCUUUUGUGGGGUGCUCGAGUGGCGAACGGGUGAGUAACACGUGAGUAACCUGCCCUUGACUUUGGGAUAACUUCAGGAAACUGGGGCUAAUACCGGAUAGGAGCUCCUGAUGCAUGGUGGGGGUUGGAAAGUUUCGGCGGUUUGGGAUGGACUCGCGGCUUAUCAGCUUGUUGGUGGGGUAAUGGCUUAACAAGGCUUUGACGGGUAGCCGGCCUGAGAGGGUGACCGGCCACAUUGGGACUGAGAUACGGCCCAGACCCCUACGGGAGGCAGCAGUGGGGAAUAUUGCAAAAUGGGCGGAAGCCUGAUGCAGCCACGCCGCGUGGGGGAUGACGGCCUUUCGGUUGUAAACCUCUUUCGACCUGGACGAAGCCUUGGUGACGGUAAAUGGAUAAGAAGCCCCGGCUAACUACGUU